GAUGAAGAACGUAGCGAAAUGCGAUAAGUAAUGUGAAUUGCAGAAUUCAGUGAAUCAUCGAAUCUUUGAACGCACAUUGCGCCCCCUGGAAUUCCGGGGGGCAUGCCUGUUCGAGCGUCUCAGGGACGAACCCUCGCGCGGGUGUACGCGCGGUCGUGGCUGCGGUGGCGUGCCCGAGGCGGCGGCCACCGCGCUGGAAUCCAUGGGCGGACGCCUGCCGCGUGGCCGAGCGUGAUAUGACGCAUUGGCGCUCGAACGCGGCGAGGCUGCCAGCCCUGGCCCGUCUGUCGGGCGGGGGAGAGCAAGACACGUGAACUCCUCGAAUCAGGUAGGGAUACCCGCUGAACUUAAGCAUAUCAAUAAGCGGAGGA
rnacentral:misc_RNA from 1 species